GRGUGAACGCUGGCGGUAGGCCUAACACAUGCAAGUCGAACGGCAGCACAGGAGAGCUUGCUCUCUGGGUGGCGAGUGGCGGACGGGUGAGGAAUGCAUCGGAAUCUACUCUGUCGUGGGGGAUAACGUAGGGAAACUUACGCUAAUACCGCAUACGACCUACGGGUGAAAGCAGGGGAUCUUCGGACCUUGCGCGAUUGAAUGAGCCGAUGCCCGAUUAGCUAGUUGGCGGGGUAAGAGCCCACCAAGGCGACGAUCGGUAGCUGGUCUGAGAGGAUGAUCAGCCACACUGGAACUGAGACACGGUCCAGACUCCUACGGGAGGCAGCAGUGGGGAAUAUUGGACAAUGGGCGCAAGCCUGAUCCAGCCAUACCGCGUGGGUGAAGAAGGCCUUCGGGUUGUAAAGCCCUUUUGUUGGGAAAGAAAAGCAGUCGGUUAAUACCCGAUUGUUCUGACGGUACCCAAAGAAUAAGCACCGGCUAACUUCGU
rnacentral:rRNA from 1 species